UACGAACUGUGCAACCGUUAUUCGGAAUCACUGGGCUUACAGGGUGCGUAGGCGGCUUGUUAAGUAGGGUGUGAAAGCCCCCGGCUCAACCGGGGAAUUGCGCCCUAAACUGGCGAGCUGGAGUGAGAUAGGGGUGUGUGGAACUUCCGGUGGAGCGGUGAAAUGUGUUGAUAUCGGAAGGAACGCCGGUGGCGAAAGCGACACACUGGAUCUUGUCUGACGCUGAGGCACGAAAGCCAGGGGAGCGAACGGG
rnacentral:rRNA from 1 species